rnacentral:ncRNA from 20 species
AGACAACAUAUUGCUCCUACUCGUAUAAUUUUGAGAAUAUGGCUCAAGAGUCUCUACCGGGCAACCGUAAAUUGCCCGACUACGAGUGAAAGUGUACCUAGG